rnacentral:rRNA from 1 species
UGAACCUGCGGAAGGAUCAUUAUUCAAAUACUAGCGGGGCUUCCGGCCCUGUCCUGCACCCUUUG